rnacentral:rRNA from 1 species
CCUACGGGGGGCUGCAGUCGAGAAUAGUCUACAAUGGCCGAAAGGCUGAUAGUGCGACGCCGCGUGAACGAAGAAGCCCUUCGGGGUGUAAAGUUCUUUUAUAUGUGAGCAAUGCCUUUUAUGUGAAUAGCAUGAGAGGAGCGAUAUUAGCAUAUGAAUAAGCAACGGCUAACUCCGUGCCAGCAGCCGCGGUAACACGGGGGUUGCAAGCGUUGUCCGGAAUUACUAGGCGUAAAGGGCAGGUAGGCGGAUAGAUAAGUUUUUUGUCAAAGGCGACGGCUCACCCGUCGUAAGGCAGGAGAUACUGUUUAUCUGGAAUGCGGUUGGGGAAGACAGAAUUCCUGGUGUAGCGGUGGAAUGCGCAGAGAUCAGGAGGAAUACCGAAGGCGAAGGCAGUCUUCUAAGCCGUUAUUGACGCUAAACUGCGAAGGUGUGGGUAUCAAACAGGAUUAGAUACCCCAGUAGUC